GGGGGCUCGAGGCACAUGGAAAUGAUCCGGCAAAAGAAAAAAUCGCUAAGCCAGCUAUAGCCCCAAAAAGAGCAAGCACUCCAUGCUCACCAAUGCUACGAUCUACUUACACCAAGAAUGGCCCGCAGGAAUUUCCAAAUUAUAUAUGCUCGCGGUACCCUAGCAUAGUAAGCAUUCCGAUCGAACUUUUUUCCCGUUUUCUGACAGAUAAUUCUGUUUUGUCAACAAAACCUGGUGCCAAUUUGUUAGCAGCAAGCCCACACACUCACCACUUGAUUUUUCCUUGUUUGUACUAAACUCUUCAGUCAGCACAGAAGCUUGCGGCCUAGCAAACAUAUCGAAAAUGCGGCAAGCGUUCCGAUCAAACAUGUUCACCUUGACUGACAAGCUAAUGGCGUGCCUCGGAGAAAUGUGUACAUGCUGUAAGGCACGUGGACGAAAAAGUGUAUCCUGAAGUGUGAAGGCACAACCAUCCAUGCCCCGCCUCCUGAUACGUCUCCAACGUAUCUAUAAUUUUUGAUUGCUCCAUGCUAUAUUAUCUACUGUUCUGGACUAUAUUGGGCUUUAUUUUCCACUUUUAUAUUAUUUUUGGGACUAACCUAUUAACCGAAGGCCCAGCCCAGAAUUGCUGUUUUUUGCCUAUUUCAGUGUUUCGGAGAAACAGAAUAUCAAAUGGAGUCCAAACGGAAUAAAACCUUCGAGAACGUGAUUUUCUCACUGAACGUGAUCCAGGAGACUUAGAUCCUACUCCAAGGAGUCAAAGAGGAGGUCACGAGGGUGCGGGGGCCCCCCAACCUCGUGGGCCCCUCGGUGCUCCACCGACGUACUUCUUCCUCCUAUAUAUACAUACAUACCCCCAAACGAUCAGAACAGGAGCCAAAAAGCUAAUUCCACCGCCGCAACUUUCUAUAUCCACGAGAUCCCAUCUUGGGGCCUGUUCCGGAGCUCCGCCGAAAGAGGGCCGUCAUCACAAAUGGCUUCUACAUCAUCCUAGCCCCUCUGAUGAAGUGUGAGUAGUUUACCUCAGACCUUCGGGUCCAUAGUUAGUAGCUAGAUGGCUUCUUCUCUCUUUUUGGAUCUCAAUACAAAGUUCUCCCCCUCUCUUGUGGAGAUCUAUUCGAUGUUAUCUUUUUUUUGCGGUGUGUUUGUUGAGAUCGAUGAAUUGUGGGUUUAUGAUCAAGUCUAUCUAUGAAUAAUAUUUGAAUCUUCUCUGAAUUCUUUUAUGUAUGAUUGGUUAUCUUUGCAAGUCUCUUCGAAUUAUCUGUUUGGUUUGGCCAACUAGAUUGGUAGUUCUUGCCAUGGGAGAAGUGCUUAGCUUUGGGUUCGAUCUUGCGGUGUCCUUACCCAGUGACAGAAGGGGCAGCAAGGCACAUAUUGCAUCGUUGCCAUUGAGGAUAACAAGAUGGGGUUUAUUUCAUAUUGCAUGAAUUUAUCUCUCUACAUCAUGUCAUCUUGCUUAAGGCGUUACUCUAUUUUUAACUUAAUACUCUAGAUGCAUGCUGGAUAGCGGUCGAUGAGUGGAGUAAUAGUAGUAGAUGCAGAAUCGUUUGGGUCUACUUGUCACGGACAUGAUGCCUAUAUACAUGAUCAUGCCUAGAUAUUCUCAUAACCAUGCUCAAUUCUGUCAAUUGCUCAAUAGUAAUUUGUCCACCCACCGUAGAAUACUUAUGCUCUUGAUAGAAGCCUCUAGUGAAACCUAUGGCCCGCGGGUCUAUUCUCAUCAUAUCAAUCUCCAUCACUUUAAUCUUGCUUUGCUUUUUACUUUGCUUUUACUUUUUACUUUGCAUCUUUAUACCAAAAAUACCAAAAAUAUUAUAUCUAUUAGACCUCACUCUCGUAAGUGACUGUGAAGGGAUUGACAACCCCUAAUCGCGUUGGUUGCGAGUAGCUAUCGUUUUGUGCAGGUACGAGGGAGUUGAGCGUGGUCUCCUACUGGAUUGAUACCUUGGUUCUCAAAAACUGAGGGAAAUACUUACGCUACUCUGCUGCAUCAUCCCUUCCUCUUCGGGGAAAACCAACGCAAGCUCAAGACGUAGCAAGAAGGAUUUCUGGCGCCGUUGCCGGGGAGUCUACGCAAAAAGUCAACAUACCAAGUACCCAUCACAAUCCCUAUCUCUCGCAUUACGUUAUUUUCCAUUUGCCUCUCGUUUUCCUCUCCCCCACUUCACCUUGCCAUUUUAUUCGCCCUCUCUCUCUAUCCUCCAUCUCUAUUUGCCUCUUUUGCCUGCUUGCCUUUUUGUUUGCUCGUAUGUUAGUAUGCUUGUUUGUCGCGAUGGCUCAAGAUACUACCAAAUUGUGUGACUUCACCAAUACCAAUAAUAAUGAUUUCCUUAGCACUCCGAUUGCUCCUCUUGCUAAUACUGAAUUUUGUGAAAUCAAUGCUGCUUUGUUGAAUCUUGUUAUGAAAGAUCAAUUCGCUGGCCUUCCUAGCGAAGAUGCCGCUACUCAUCUGAAUAGCUUCGUUGAUUUAUGUGAUAUGCAAAAGAAAAAAUGAUGUCGAUAAUGAUGUCGUUAAAUUGAAGCUAUUUCCUUUUUCGCUUAGAGAUCGUGCUAAAGUUUGGUUUUCAUCUUUGCCUAAGAAUAGUAUUGAUUCUUGGAACAAGUGCAAAGAUGCUUUUAUCUCUAAGUAUUUCCCUCCCGCUAAGAUCAUCUCUCUUAGAAACAAUAUUAUGAAUUUUAAGCAACUUGAUCAUGAACAUGUUGCACAAGCUUGGGAGAGAAUGAAAUUAAUGAUACGUAAUUGCCCUACUCAUGGUUUGAAUUUGUGGAUGAUUAUACAAUUUUUUUAUGUCGGAUUGAAUUUUGCUUCUAGAAAUCUUUUAGAUUCGGCCGCAGGAGGCACUUUUAUGGAAAUCGCUUUAGGAGAUGCUACUAAACUCCUAGAUAAUAUUAUGGUUAAUUAUUCUCAAUGGCAUACUGAAAGGUCUUCUAAUAAAAAAGUGCAUGCGGUAGAAGAAAUCAAUUUUUUGAGUGGAAAGAUGGAUGAACUUAUGAAAUUAUUUGCUACUAAGAGUGUUUCUUCUGAUCCUAAUGAUAUUCCUUUGUCUACUUUGAUUGAGAAUAACAAUGAAUCUAUGGAUGUGAAUUUUGUUGGUAGGAAUAAUUUUGGUAACAACGCUUAUAGAGGGAAUUUUAAUCCUAGGCCAUAUCCUAGUAAUCCUUCUAAUAAUUAUGGGAAUUCCUACAACAACUCUUAUGGAAAUUAUAAUAAGAUGCCCUCUGAAUUUGAGAAUAGUGUUAAAGAGUUUAUGAAUUCACAAAAGAAUUUUAAUGCUUUGCUUGAAGAGAAAUUGCUUAAAGUUGAUGAUUUGGCUAGAAACGUUGAUAGAAUUUCUCUUGAGAUUGAUUCUUUAAAUCUUAGAUCUAUUCCUCCUAAGCAUGAUAUCAAUGAGUCUAUAAAAGCCAUGAGAAUUUCCAUUGAUGAGUGCAAGGAAAGAGCCGCUAGGAUGCGUGCUUCUAAAGAUGCCUUUAUUAAAGCGUGUCCUUCCAAUUCCUAUGAAAAUCAAGAUGAAGAUCUAAAAGUUAUUGAUGUGUCCUCUAUUAAAUCUUUGUUUUGCAAUAUGAAUCUUGAUGAAACUGAAUAUGACCUUCCUUUACCUAGAAGGCGUUCUAAAAAUUCGGAGUAUUUAGAUCUUUAUGAUGAAAUUGAUGAAAGCGGGAUUGAAAGAAAUAAAAAUCUAUAUGUUGCUAAACCCACUAUAUUGGAUUUUAAGGAAUUUAUUUAUGAAAGUUGCUUUUUAAUUGAUUGUAUUUCCUUGUUGCAAUCCGUGCUAAAUUCUCCACAUGCUUAUAGUCAAAAUAAAGCCUUCACCGAACAUAUUGUUGAUGCCUUGAUGCAAUCUUAUGAAGAAAAACUUGAUUUGAAAGUUUCUAUCCCUAGAAAACUCUAUGAUGAGUGGGAACCAACUAUUCAAAUUAAAAUUAAAUAUCAUGAGUUUUAUGCUUUGUGUGAUUUGGGUGCUAGUGUCUCCACUAUUCCCAAAACUUUAUGUGAUUUGCUAGAUUUCCGUAAUUUUGACGAUUGCUCUCUAAACUUGCAUCUUGCGGAUUCUACUAUUAAGAAACCUAUGGGAAUGAUUAAUGAUGUUCUUAUUGUUGUAAAUAGGAAUUAUGUGCUCGUAGAUUUCAUUGUUCUUGAUAUAGAUUGCAAUCCUUCUUGCCCUAUUAUUCUUGGUAGACCUUUCCUUAGAACGGUUGGUGCGAUUAUGGAUAUGAAGGAAGAGAAUAUUAGAUUUCAAUUUCCAUUAAAAAUGGGCAUGGAACACUUUCCAAGAAAGAAAAUAAAAUUACCAUAUGAAACUAUCAUGAGAGCCACUUAUGGAUUGCCUACCAAAGAUGGCAAUACUUAGAUCUAUCCUCGCUUUUAUGCCUAGCUAGGGGCGUUAAACGAUAGCGCUUGUUGGGAGGCAACCCAAUUUUAUUUUUAUUCCUUGCUUUUUUCUCCUGUUUAGUAAUAAAUAAAUUAUUUAUCCUCUGUUUUGGUUGUGUUUUUGUGUUUAAUUAGUGUUUGUGCUAAGUAGAACCGUUGGGAAGACUUGGGGAAAGUCUUGUUGAACUUGCUGUAAAAAACAGAAACUUUAGCGCUCACAAGAACUGUUGUAAUUUUUAUUUGAAGAGUGAUAUUUAGUUAAUUCUUUUUUCAGAUGAUUAAUAGAUAAAUUCCUCAUGUCCAGAAAUUUAUUUUAUAAUUUUUGGGGUUCCAGAUCUUGCGCUAGCUACAGAUUACUACAGACUGUUCUGUUUCUGACAGAUUCUGUUUUUCGUGUGUUGUUUGCUUAUUUUGAUGAAUCUAUGGUUAGCAAAAUAGUUUAUAAUCCAUAGAGAAGUUGGAAUACAGUAGGUUUAACACCAAUAUAAAUAAAGAAUAAGUUCAUUACAGUACCUUGAAGUGGUUUUUUUUUCUUUCGCUAACAGAGCUCACGAGUUUUCUAAUUUGAGUUUUGUGUUGUGAAGUUUUCAAGUUUUGGGUGAAUUCUUGUGAUGGAUUAUGGAACAAGGAGUGGAAAGAGCCUAAGCUUGGGGAUGCCCAUGGCACCCCCAAGAUAAUACAAGGACACCAAAAAGUCAAAGCUUGGGGAUGCCCCGGAAGGCAUCCCCUCUUUCGUCCACUUCCAUCGGUAAUUUACUUGGAGCUAUAUUUUUAUUCACCAACAUGAUAUGUGUUUUGCUUGGAGAGUCUUGUAUUAUUUGUGUCUUUGUGUCUUAGUAUGCCAAAAUCAUCCUUGCUGUACACACCUUUUGAGAGAGCCAUACAUGAAUUAAAAUUUGAUAGAAUACUCUAUGUGCUUCACUUAUAUCUUUUGAGCUAAGUAGUUUUGCUCUAUGUGCUUCACUUAUAUCUUUUGAGCUAAGUAGUUUUGCUCUAUGUGCUUCACUUAUAUCUUUUGAGCGUUAUAAUUUUGCUCUAUGUGCUUCACUUAGAUCUUUUAGAGCACGGUGGUGGAUUUUUUAAAGAAACUAUUGAUCUCUCAUGCUUCACUUAAAUUAUUUUAAGAGUCUCUUAAUAGCAUGGUAAUUUGCUUAAUAAUAAUAUGCUUGGUAUUCAAGAUUUGUGAAACUUUCUUUUGAGUGUGUUGAAUACUAAGAAAAGAUUGAAGCUUGAUAAUUUUUUUGAGAUAUGGAGGUGAUAAUAUUAAAGUUAUGCUAGUUGAGUAGUUGUGAAUUUAAAGAAUACUUGUGUUAAAGUUUGUGAUUCCCGUAGCAUGCACGUAUGGUGAACCGUUAUGUGAUGAAGUCGGAGCAUGAUUUAUUUAUUGAUUGUAUUCCUUAUGAGUGGCGGUCGGGGACGAGCGAUGGUCUUUUCCUACCAAUCUAUCCCCCUAGGAGCAUGCGCGUAAUACUUUGUUUUGAUAACUUCUAGAUUUUUGCAAUAAGUAUAUGAGUUCUUUAUGACUAAUGUUGAGUCCAUGGAUCAUACGCACUCUCACGCUUCCACCUUUGCUAGCCUCUCUAAUAUCGCGCACCUUUCGCCGGUAUCAUACAUCUACCAUAUACCUUCCUCAAAAUAGCCACCAUACCUACCUAUUAUGGCAUUUCCAUAGCCAUUCCGAGAUAUAUUAUCAUGCAACUUUCCACCAUCUAGUUCAUCAUGACACAUUCAUCAUUGUCAUAUUGCUUAGCAUGAUCAUGUAGUUGACAUAGUAUUUGUGGCAAAGCCACCGUUCAUAAUUUCUUCAUACUUGUCACUCUUGAUUCAUUGCAUAUCCCAGUACACUGCCGGAGGCAUCCAUACAGAGUCAUGCUUUGUCUUAGAAUCGAGUUGUAAUCAUUGAGUUGUAAAUAAAUAAAAGUGUGAUGAUCAUCAUUUAAUAGAGCAUUGUCCCAAAAAAAGAGAAAGGCCAAAGAAAAAAAAGAAGGCCCCAAAAAAGAUAAAAUAAAUAAAAAGGGGCAAUGCUACUAUCCUUUUACCACACUUGUGCUUCAAAGUAGCACCAUGAACUUCAUAGUAGAGAGUCUCUCAUGUUAUCACUUUCUUAUGCUAGUGGGAAUUUUACAUUAUAGAACUUGGCUUGUAUAUUCCAAUGAUGGGCUUCCUCAAAUUGCCCUAGGUCUUCAUGAGCAAGCAAGUUGGAUGCACACCCACUAGUUUCUUUUGUCGAGCUUUCAUACAUUUAUAGCUCUAGUGCAUCCGUUGCAUGGCAAUCCCUACUCACUCACAUUGAUAUCUAUUGAUGGGCAUCUCCAUAGCCCAUUUGAUAUGCCUAGUUGAUGUGAGACUAUCUUCCCCAGCUUUUUGUCUUCUCCACAACCACCAUUCUAUUCCACCUAUAGUGCUAAAUCCAUGGCUCACGCUCAUGUAUUGCGUGAAUAUUGAAAAAGUUUUGAAAAAGUUAGAGUAUGAAACAAUUGCUUGGCUUGUCAUCGGGGUUGUGCAUGAUUUAAAUACUUUGUGUGGUGAAGAUAGAGCAUAGCCAGACUAUAUGAUUUUGUAGGGAUAACUUUCUUUGGCCAUGUUAUUUUGAGAAGACAUAAUUGCUUUGUUAGUAUGCUUGAAGUAUUAUUAUUUUUAUGUCAAUAUAAACUUUUGUCUUGAAUCUUUCGAAUCUGAAUAUUCAUAUCACAAUUAAGAAGAUUUGCAUUGAAAUUAUGCCAAGUAGCACUCCACAUCAAAAAUUCUCUUUUUAUCAUUUACCUACUCAAGGACGGGCAAGAAUUAAGCUUGGGGAUGCCUGAUACGUCUCCAACGUAUCUAUAAUUUUUGAUUGCUCCAUGCUAUAUUAUCUACUGUUUUUGACUAUAUUGGGCUUUAUUUUCCACUUUUAUAUUAUUUUUGGGACUAACCUAUUAACCGGAGGCCCAGCCCAGAAUUGUUGUUUUUUGCCUAUUUCAGUGUUUCGGAGAAACAGAAUAUCAAACGGAGUCCAAACGGAAUAAAACCUUCGGGAACGUGAUUUUCUCACCGAACGUGAUCCAGGAGACUUGGACCCUACUCCAAGGAGUCAAAGAGGAGGUCACGAGGGUGCGGGGCGCCCCCCUAGGGCGCGCCCCCUGCCUCGUGGGCCCCUCGGUGCUCCACCGACGUACUUCUUCCUCCUAUAUAUACAUAUGUACCCCAAACGAUCAGAACAAGAGCCAAAAACCUAAUUCCACCGCCGCAACUUUCUGUAUCCACGAGAUCCCAUCUUGGGGCCUGUUCCGGAGCUCCGCCGGAAGAAGGCCGUCAUCACGGAGGGCUUCUACAUCAUCCUAGCCCCUCCGAUGAAGUGUGAGUAGUUUACCUCAGACCUUCGGGUCCGUAGUUAGUAGCUAGAUGGCUUCUUCUCUCUUUUUGGAUCUCAAUACAAAGUUCUCCCCCUCUCUUGUGGAGAUCUAUUCGAUGCAAUAUUCUUUUUGCGAUGUGUUUGUUGAGACCGAUGAAUUGUGGGUUUAUGAUCAAGUCUAUCUAUGAAUAAUAUUUGAAUCUUCUAUGAAUUCUUUUAUGUAUGAUUGGUUAUCUUUACAAGUCUCUUCGAAUUAUCCGUUUGGUUUGGCCAACUAGAUUGGUAGUUCUUUCCAUGGGAGAAGUGCUUAGCUUUGGGUUCGAUCUUGCGGUGUCCUUUCCCAGUGACAAAAGGGGCAGCAAGGUACGUAUUGCAUCGUUGCCAUCAAGGAUAACAAGAUGGGGUUUAUUUCAUAUUGCAUGAAUUUAUCUCUCUACAUCAUGUCAUCUUGCUUAAGGCGUUACUCUGUUUUUAACUUAAUACUCUAGAUGCAUGCUGGAUAGCGGUCGAUGAGUGGAGUAAUAGUAGUAGAUGCAGAAUCGUUUCGGUCUACUUGUCACAGAUGUGAUGCCUAUAUACAUGAUCAUGCCUAGAUAUUCUCAUAACUAUGCUCAAUUCUGUCAAUUGCUCAACAGUAAUUUGUUCAUCCACCGUAGAAUACUUAUGCUCUUGAGAGAAGCCACUAGUGAAACCUAUGGCCCCCGGGUCUAUUCUCAUCAUAUCAAUCUCCAUCACUUUAAUCUUGCUUUGCCUUUUACUUUGCUUUUACUUUUUACUUUGCAUCUUUAUACCAAAAAUACCAAAAAUAUUAUAUCUAUCAGAUCUCACUCUCGUAAGUGACCGUGAAGGGAUUGACAACCCCUAAUCGCGUUGGUUGCGAAUAGCUAUCGUUUUGUGCAGGUACGAGGGACUUGAGCGUGGCCUCCUACUGGAUUGAUACCUUGGUUCUCAAAAACUGAGGAAAAUACUUACGCUACUCUACUGCAUAAUCCCUUCCUCUUCGGGGAAAACCAACGCAAGCUCAAGACGUAGCACCUCCCACUCCAUCAACUGACCAGCUAAGCACCCCACUAGUCAGCAAGACUGGACCACGCCUUCCUGCACCAGGGAUGCCUGAAGGUGUGUUUUUUCAUACUCUUUCAGUUAUCUCAACCCAAAUCAGUUUUCCAUAUGUACCAACCCGUGUUCUUACACAUUUUUUACAGGUGCGUUGUCUGCCAGUAGUUCAGUCUCGAGGAAAAGGGAUGGAAGCUUAUCAUCAAGUAUACAAUCUGGUUCAUCAAAGAGGCUUUGUUUAGCCCCCCCUUGCAGAAGAUGUCCUUGGGCAAAAACAGAAACCAAUAGCCUAGGAUUC
rnacentral:lncRNA from 1 species